rnacentral:rRNA from 4 species
GGGUUGUGAGGUUAAGCGACUAAGCGUACACGGUGGAUGCCCUGGCAGUCAGAGGCGAUGAAGGGCGUGCUAAUCUGCGAUAAGCGCCGGUAAGGUGAUAUGAACCGUUAUAACCGGCGAUACCCGAAUGGGGAAACCCAGUGUGAUUCGUCACACUAUCAUUAACUGAAUCCAUAGGUUAAUGAGGCGAACCGGGGGAACUGAAACAUCUAAGUACCCCGAGGAAAAGAAAUCAACCGAGAUUCCCCCAGUAGCGGCGAGCGAACGGGGAGGAGCCCAGAGCCUGAAUCAGCAUGUGUGUUAGUGGAAGCGUCUGGAAAGGCGCGCGAUACAGGGUGACAGCCCCGUACACAAAAGCGCAUGUGCUGUGAGCUCGAUGAGUAGGGCGGGACACGUGGUAUCCUGUCUGAAUAUGGGGGGACCAUCCUCCAAGGCUAAAUACUCCUGACUGACCGAUAGUGAACCAGUACCGUGAGGGAAAGGCGAAAAGAACCCCGGCGAGGGGAGUGAAAAAGAACCUGAAACCGUGUACGUACAAGCAGUGGGAGCACCCUUCGGGGUGUGACUGCGUACCUUUUGUAUAAUGGGUCAGCGACUUAUAUUCUGUAGCAAGGUUAACCGAAUAGGGGAGCCGGAGGGAAACCGAGUCUUAACCGGGCGUUAAGUUGCAGGGUAUAGACCCGAAACCCGGUGAUCUAGCCAUGGGCAGGUUGAAGGUUGGGUAACACUAACUGGAGGACCGAACCGACUAAUGUUGAAAAAUUAGCGGAUGACCUGUGGCUGGGGGUGAAAGGCCAAUCAAACCGGGAGAUAGCUGGUUCUCCCCGAAAGCUAUUUAGGUAGCGCCUCGUGAAUUCAUCUCCGGGGGUAGAGCACUGUUUCGGCUAGGGGGCCAUCCCGGCUUACCAACCCGAUGCAAACUGCGAAUACCGGAGAAUGUUAUCACGGGAGACACACGGCGGGUGCUAACGUCCGUCGUGAAGAGGGAAACAACCCAGACCGCCAGCUAAGGUCCCAAAGUCAUGGUUAAGUGGGAAACGAUGUGGGAAGGCCCAGACAGCCAGGAUGUUGGCUUAGAAGCAGCCAUCAUUUAAAGAAAGCGUAAUAGCUCACUGGUCGAGUCGGCCUGCGCGGAAGAUGUAACGGGGCUAAACCAUGCACCGAAGCUGCGGCAGCGACGCUGAUGCGUUGUUGGGUAGGGGAGCGUUCUGUAAGCCUGCGAAGGUGGCCUGUGAGGGUUGCUGGAGGUAUCAGAAGUGCGAAUGCUGACAUAAGUAACGAUAAAGCGGGUGAAAAGCCCGCUCGCCGGAAGACCAAGGGUUCCUGUCCAACGUUAAUCGGGGCAGGGUGAGUCGACCCCUAAGGCGAGGCCGAAAGGCGUAGUCGAUGGGAAACGGGUUAAUAUUCCCGUACUUGGUGUUACUGCGAAGGGGGGACGGAGAAGGCUAUGUUGGCCGGGCGACGGUUGUCCCGGUUUAAGCGUGUAGGUGUGUGUUCCAGGUAAAUCCGGUUCACUUUAACACUGAGGCGUGACGACGAGGCACUACGGUGCUGAAGCAACAAAUGCCCUGCUUCCAGGAAAAGCCUCUAAGCAUCAGGUAACAUCAAAUCGUACCCCAAACCGACACAGGUGGUCAGGUAGAGAAUACCAAGGCGCUUGAGAGAACUCGGGUGAAGGAACUAGGCAAAAUGGUGCCGUAACUUCGGGAGAAGGCACGCUGACACGUAGGUGAAGUGAUUUACUCAUGGAGCUGAAGUCAGUCGAAGAUACCAGCUGGCUGCAACUGUUUAUUAAAAACACAGCACUGUGCAAACACGAAAGUGGACGUAUACGGUGUGACGCCUGCCCGGUGCCGGAAGGUUAAUUGAUGGGGUCAGCGCAAGCGAAGCUCCUGAUCGAAGCCCCGGUAAACGGCGGCCGUAACUAUAACGGUCCUAAGGUAGCGAAAUUCCUUGUCGGGUAAGUUCCGACCUGCACGAAUGGCGUAAUGAUGGCCAGGCUGUCUCCACCCGAGACUCAGUGAAAUUGAACUCGCUGUGAAGAUGCAGUGUACCCGCGGCAAGACGGAAAGACCCCGUGAACCUUUACUAUAGCUUGACACUGAACAUUGAGCCUUGAUGUGUAGGAUAGGUGGGAGGCUUUGAAGUGUGGACGCCAGUCUGCAUGGAGCCGACCUUGAAAUACCACCCUUUAAUGUUUGAUGUUCUAACGUGGACCCGUUACCCGGGUUGCGGACAGUGUCUGGUGGGUAGUUUGACUGGGGCGGUCUCCUCCUAAAGAGUAACGGAGGAGCACGAAGGUUGGCUAAUCCUGGUCGGACAUCAGGAGGUUAGUGCAAUGGCAUAAGCCAGCUUGACUGCGAGCGUGACGGCGCGAGCAGGUGCGAAAGCAGGUCAUAGUGAUCCGGUGGUUCUGAAUGGAAGGGCCAUCGCUCAACGGAUAAAAGGUACUCCGGGGAUAACAGGCUGAUACCGCCCAAGAGUUCAUAUCGACGGCGGUGUUUGGCACCUCGAUGUCGGCUCAUCACAUCCUGGGGCUGAAGUAGGUCCCAAGGGUAUGGCUGUUCGCCAUUUAAAGUGGUACGCGAGCUGGGUUUAGAACGUCGUGAGACAGUUCGGUCCCUAUCUGCCGUGGGCGCUGGAGAACUGAGGGGGGCUGCUCCUAGUACGAGAGGACCGGAGUGGACGCAUCACUGGUGUUCGGGUUGUCAUGCCAAUGGCACUGCCCGGUAGCUAAAUGCGGAAGAGAUAAGUGCUGAAAGCAUCUAAGCACGAAACUUGCCCCGAGAUGAGUUCUCCCUGAGACUUAGAGUCUCCUGAAGGAACGUUGAAGACGACGACGUUGAUAGGCCGGGUGUGUAAGCGCAGCGAUGCGUUGAGCUAACCGGUACUAAUGAACCGUGAGGCUUAACCUUACAACGCCGAAG